rnacentral:RNase_P_RNA from 1 species
GGAUGCUGUGUUUUCUGUCGCCGGUCUUUGCAGAAGACGGGAGGAAAGUCGGGGCAACACAGGGCACCAUACUUCCCAACAGGAAGGUUCCAUAGCCGGUGGAAACAGACAGUGCCACAGAAAAUAACCGUCACGUUGCUUCAGGGUAACGGGAUAAGGGUGAAAACGUGGGGUAAGAGCCCACGGCAGCGUAUGGUGACAUUCGCUGCGGGCAAACCUUAUGGGUUGAAAGGCCAAAUAUACCGGAAGGCCGUCAGCAAUGGCGGCAGAGAGCUGCCCGCUCUUUUCCGGGGGGUAGGCCGAUAGAGCCUUGUGGCAACACAAGGCCUGGAUAAAUGACAGAACGCCGGAGAAGCUAUGCUACCCGGCCGACAGAACCCCGCUUACGCACAGCCCGGCU